rnacentral:rRNA from 1 species
UACGGAGGGUGCAAACGUUGCUCGGACUCAUUGGGCGUAAAGCGCACGUCGGCGGACCGGUAAGUCGGAUGUGAAAGCCCUCGGCUCAACUGAGGAAGUGCAUUCGAAACUGCUGGACUUGAGUACGGGAGAGGGAUGCGGAAUUCCCGGUGUAGAAGUGAAAUUCGUAGAUAUCGGGAGGAACACCAGUAGCGAAGGCGGCAUCCUGGACCGAUACUGACGCUGAGGUGCGAAAGCGUGGGGAGCAAAUAGG